rnacentral:sRNA from 1 species
UUACUUCAGACUCAUGGGAAUAAUAAUA